rnacentral:rRNA from 1 species
AUGGACCAUUCCAUCCCUUUUUACCGUGCAUAUGCAUCGGACUCAGAUGACGAUGGUCCCGAUGAACAAGUUGAUGCGGAGGGGUUCACGGUGAAGGAGGCCGAAGCUUUCGAGAAGGUAUUUGGUCGGGAUCAUCGGACUACAUUGUUCAAGGAUGUUAGUCUCGCGGAUGAAGCCGUGGUAGAUGGUGGCCAAUGUGUAGCUCUUGGGGUUAGGCCAAGCUCUCAC